rnacentral:misc_RNA from 1 species
UUAGUGAAGAACUUUGCAUUGAUUGAAUUGCGUAUUUAUAGAAACAAUUGAAAUCUCAACAUAAUUUCUUUUCUUCUGUCUUCAAUCUCAAGAAGAGCACAACAUAAAUUUGAAAGGUGGGCAUCAGCUCUAUCCAAAACACUGCCACACCAAUUAAUGAACCCUAGAUAUGAAAAAUCAAAAGGAAAAAAGAAAAUUUAUUCUCUUAACUGAACUAUAUAUGUUACAAAUCCUAUAAAAGGAUUGCUGAUCUACCCACUAAUUAACACUGAGAGGUGAGCCAGACACAAGAAUUAGACGCUACUGAUUCAGCCAUCAAGAUUUAUUCAAGUGUACAUGGCUUGGAACGAACUUGACCCGACUACAUUUUUUUAACUUGGAAAUAGCUGCUUGUGACUUACUGAGCAUAAGAUCCACAUAAACUGCGGUCAAAGUGGCCUCAGGACUGUCAGGUAUAAGAGACAAUGCUUGGGUCACAAAAUGGUGUGCCCGCUCAAGCUCACCUUGUGCUGCAUGCAUGGUUGCAAAAUUGGCAUAAAGGAUACCUUGCGCCUCUUCUGGUUUGAGGAACACAAAACCUUGUGAUUCCUCAGGGGAAGAAAUCUUGGCACUGGUUGAUCCUCCAUUGGUAUCUUCACAAUCGUAAGUUUUCUCCACUCGCCAUUCCUCACAGUCCUCCUGGCUGAAGGGCAACUCAACAUUAAUUCCUCCAGACAAAUAAAUUGACAAGUGCUCAGCAGCUUCCUUAGGCUUGUUUAGCAAGCAGAGGGCCUCAGCUGCAUAUACAUGACCAAGAAAAACAUAAAUUCUUGAGCAUUCUGGAAUUUCCAAGAGGGACUUUGCAAUGGACAAGGCCUUCUCAGGAUUUUCUAGUUCCAACUCCACAUAAGCCAAGUUAGCAAGAAGAGCUUGCUUAAUCAUCUGAUUCUCUCUCCUACGAAUAUCUUCAAAGAAAGAGACGGAAUUCUGCAUGAUCUCCUGACCUGUCACUCCCUUCUGCUCUUUUGUAUCCCCAUUUGCAUUAAGCUGACCUAAGCCCAUACAUAAAGAUGAUGCUUUGGCAUCUAAGCCAGUUAAACUCUUGUGGUUUGAAUUCUUGAGAGAUUCUGCUUCACUGGAUUCAUUUUCUUCCAAGGAGAUACUAGAAGGCAAACUGGACUUCAAAUGUUUGAUAUCAGAAGAGUCCAACAAAUGCAGAGCAUUGAGGAGACAUUGCCGGGCAAGGGUCACUGAGAGCUUGGGUUGGCCAUCACUGCCCAAAAACAAGUCCUCCCUUUCAACAGAAUCCAAAUAUCCAUUUCUUGAACUCCCAUUUUCUAUUGCAAGAUGCCUCCAUUUUCCCUUGCCAAUAACAUGAACUAUAAUUUCUGAUUUGUGUGAUGGAGUUCGACCAGCUUUUAUGAGUCCCUUUUCUAAAGCCAUCAGACAACACUCAGCAAGCCGGAGCCACAAGAUAGGAAGGUUGUAAAAAAUUAAACUUGCUUUCUGGAAACAGCGAGCAGCCAGCAAGGGUUUCCCACAAGCCAAGUGUUGUAUACCACAAUUGUACAUAAUAAGGAGAGAUUUAUCUUGUGAAAAAGUUAACAGUUUCAUAGGCUUGUCCUUCCGAAGAGAUGAACUACAAGUUAGUGCCUUGGAAAAGAGGAGAGAUGAUGCAUGGUAUUUCCCAAGCUGAUAAUAAAUGCAACCAAGGUUGUUGAACAUGCUUGAAAUCCCCAUCUCUGUCCGAUUACUUGAUGCCAUCAACAACUUGAUGGCUUUACGAUGAUUCCCACGAGCAUAUUCAAGCUGAGACUUCAAGAGGAGAGCCGUGGAUGAGUCUCUCCCACGUGCAAUGUUCAUAGCAAGCUUGACUUCGCGCUUCGCUUGUUUUAAAUUCCUUGUGAGAAGUAGAAACUGGACCUUGUAAAGCUGCAACUUAAGCUUCAGAUCAAUGGUAGACAUAGACCUAUCAACUUGGGUCCUGGAAAGAUCAUUUGAAGAUGGGAGACCAGAUGGCCUUGUCAGGUUCUGUCCACUUAUGUCUAAUGAAAACAUGGUUUCAUACUCAAGUGACUCCUCUGAUAGUGAUAAAGUUUUCGACAAAGAAUUUUCCAAGGAAUUCCCACUAGGUGCUAAAUCCAAAUUAGAAGCUUCCAAGGCUGAUGAACUGGUUGGAAUAGAGGAUAAUUUUGUAACUAGAUUUGCAGAUUGUUGCUGUGUUGUGCUUGCAUUAUCACCUUGACUCCCACAGCCAAAACCAAAACCUUUUUCUAGAUAAAUCAGUACAUCAGCAGAUUUUGAUGCAUCCUGGCAGGCAAGUGCAACAUCCAGCAACAGAAGGCAAACAUGGAGAGCAGUUGUCUCAUCAAUAGGCUCAAUAUUGUGAUACAAAGGUUCUAGAACUGACAAUGCCUUAGUAUAUUCGUGAAGAUGAAACCAGAUAAUUGCAAUAUUUAAUGUUGCAACUGCCGGGUCAAAUUCAUCCAUGUAAAUCAGAGUCGCACUAUUUGUAACAGAAAAUUGAUGUGCUGUUGUACCACUUCCUUUAGACCCUGAAAUAACUUUAUUUCCAGCAUCGCUCCCAGCAUCAACCUGUUCUCCAGAAGCCCAAGCAAGCUGUUCGCUUUUCUUCUUCAAGUUAUUAAGUACUUCAAGCAACUUCCUUGUAUCUGAACAACCAUCAUGAAAGUAUUCCGCAAUAGCAAUAUUAUGAAUCACCUGAUAAACAUUACCCAUGGAGCGAAGAUGUAGAAAAAUAGACCGAGAAAAAAAUACUGAUAAUAUAGAUCAAAAUAAACCACUCAAGUCAAUAAUUUAGCAAAAUUUUACAUCGAUGCCAAUGAAAGGCUUGCAACUAUUCCCUAUAUAUGGACUAUAAUAAUCAUAAAUAGGUUAUAAUUAGAAUGAUGCAGUCAUAAUCAGAUUGAUUAUGCAGGAAUUUAAGAUAAUGCUAGUGCUGCACCCUAUAUGAACACAGAAAGAUUUAAUUAAUAGUAGAGUUAAUCAAUAAUAAGAAUCAAAUUUAGCAACACAGUUUACUCGAAUACCUUAAAGUAGCUGAAACAGUUCACAGCAGUGUAAUCAUACUUUAUAAGCAGUGGUUGGAGGCAUGGCGAAGCACAAUUCAUUCAAUCAAGUAAAACACAAUCUGCCAGUCUUGGUUCAUGCCAUAUUCUAUUGUAAAAUACACUUUUGUAAGCAAAUUCACUUCGAAAGAAUUUCAGGCAGCCAAUAUCUAGAAACAAAUGGAACCUAACUUCAGAAUUUGGUAGUUGCAUAUCAAAUAUCAAUGCCUGCAAUUCUCUCUCAUGACUAAACAUAACUUCUACUACUCCAGAAUGCCCAAGUAAUCAAUGGGGUUCCCAAAUUAAAAUAGACAAUACAAUCGGAAUGUUAGCAGAAGGGAAAGUAUCACUAACAAGCAGCAAUCCCAGCCUGAACCCAGAACUAGUUUUCAGUUGUCUUUUGACGUAUAAAAAGGGACAAUUGGUUCAACCACUCCAUUCAAAAGAGUCUCAUCGCUCUGGUAGAACCGUCACCUUAAUACAACCACUAAAAUUGAUGCAUAUAAGGUUCCAUCUGCAAAUAAUGCAUCUUCCUCAGUCUUCUCUAUCUAUCCUACAUAUAGAAGUUUGUGUGCAUUAACUCAGAUAAGUGAAUAAAUUUUUCCCAGAGAGUUUACUCAACCUAAGCAAGCUAUUAAAUAACAUUGGCUCAGUAUCAGUAAACUCCAAACUAACAGUUCAUUAUCAAAUCUCAAAUAAAGAAACUAACUCUAACCAGAUAAAAAUUAACUAAGAGUGCAAACACAACACGCGCUUAAACUGCCAUUUCCACUUAAAAGAAGAAAUGAAACAUUUCCCCUGCAUCCAUUACUCGACUAACUCCAACAAUAAAAAAUUAGAAAUGCAACCAUCUCAACAUGAUUGGAUAUAUAAGUAAUUACUUUGGGAUCGUUUUCUUUCUUUAACUUGAGCUGAUGCAAAACGGCGAGGCACUCCACGAAACGGCGAGACUGGAAAUGCAAGGCCGCAUCCUUGGCAAGAGCAGCAGUGACAGACAGAACGGCGUCGUCUUCAGAAGUGUUGGACGAUGACGCAGCAGCUGCAGCAACAGUUUCUCGAUUUGCGGUGGGCGUGGAUUGGGAAGAAGUUGAAUCUCGCGAGUCCAUGGCCAGAUCCAAGAAAUCAGAGAGUGAGAAUUUAUGAACACCAAUAUCUAGCAUCCGAAAUGUAGAUGUAUCAAAAAAUGAAAGGAAAGCCCUAGGGUAAUGAAAAUCGGAGAGGAGAGAAAUUUUGAAAUUGAUUAAGUAAAAAGGAAGAGGGAUAGCGCUUAGGGUUUUCCAAAAUUGCAGAGAAGGACAAAUUAUGAAUUACAGAAAGGAAAUUAGGGGCGAGAAAUGAAAUGGAUACAGAAAAGGGGGGAGCCGGUAAUUAACAAAACUGGUUUUGAGUCCAAAAUCAGCAUUACUUU